rnacentral:lncRNA from 1 species
CUGAGAUGUCUGGAUUUUAGUGUCUUAAUUAAUCAAUCUGUCAUACUAGUUAUUGUUGGUAGGAUGAGUGGUGAUAAUAUAUUAUUUAAAAAGCAGAAAAGUCUAGCCCGCAUGCACAGUUGAGGAUGGCUGCAAUCAUGAAAUUCACUAGGUAGGCAGAUCUCUAGUAUUAUACCGAGCUCUGUAUAAUUUGUUUCGUUUGUGUUAGUUUAAUUCAUGGGUUUUUAUAUUUGCAGUUUAUGUUUUUGGUUUUCUUAUUGUAUGACGGAGCUCUUAUUAUGGUUCUAUCAGUAAUCCACUAUCACUUCAUAAUGCCACUGGUUUGGAUCAGAUGAGAUGUGUAGGCAUAUGCUACUGAGUACUGCUGUUCAACACUGCCAUGAGAAACAUGUCUAAAAUAGGUUUUAAUUGAGUAGAUGGUAAGUUUGUUGGACGGACUUCUUUUUAUGUAUUAGCUAUUCGUAUUUGCUCCACAGAGGAUUUACCUAGAUUUUAUUGUUAGAAUUUCUGAUAUUCUUGGUUUGCCAUUUCGGGUGGGGUAAGUGAACGAUUUGGAGGUGGUGGUUGAUUUUCUUAAGCCUUGCUGGGUGAAUC